ensembl:lncRNA
UCGGGCUGUGUGUGGGUGGAGGGAAGGGGGUGCGGGGAGUGCGAUGAUGCCCCUUCUCGCCGCCUCCACCUGCGGGUCAGGGGGCUCUGAGAGAACACUCCCGCUCCCACAGGGGUCAGGGCCGCUGCCCCCCGGGCCCUGCGCCCGCUUCGGGUCGGGGGAGCGGGGCCUCUGCUGCUGGCAGCGAUGGAGGUGUCAGCGCGGGGGUUCCAGGUGCCCGGGGCGAGGAGGGGCCUGCUGGGCCGUGCCUCGGGGUCACUCUGAGGGACAGCAGAAGUGAUAACAACAGACAAAGUGAAAUCCACCAUCGCUUUUCGUGUCACGCGAGCGGGACCCGCCUGGCUGUCUCCACGAAGGAGGGAGAAGACCCUUUUAGCAGACGGACAGGGCUCUUCGGAUUUUAUUUUCUUUCCUUCUUAAUUUUUUUUUUAAUUUUUAUUUUUCCCCUUUUUCACCCAAAUUACCUGCGGCGUAUAGCACUCAGCCGUCCCCUCUGUGCAGCAGCAGCCGGGCGAAGCGGAUCCGUGUGGCCGCAGGGGGGAGGCGGCCCCGCGCUGCUGCCGGGAUGGACCCACGGCCGGCGGACAGACCGUCCCUGCAGUCUUGACCGCGGACCUCCCCAGGCUGUGUCCCCCCCGUGUGUGUGCGCAGCUGUCACGGGCACUGCCGGAAUGCCCCCUCCGGUUUCGUGAAUCGCUUUGGCUAUUCAGAUUUUGGGAGGGUGAGGGUUUGAUUUGCCUUUAUUGUGUGUGCGAUUUUUGUUUUCGGGUGGGUUUUUUGCUUGUUUGUUUGCUUGUUUGUUUCUUCCUCUUCUGUUCCCAGACUCCCAUCCCGUCCCCUCCAUGCUUAUUGAGGCAGACGGUGGCCAGUGCCCACCGCCUUUCCCCACUUCCCUUUCAGUUUCUUUCCACCUUAGAAAGCCGUGACCCCCACUAAACGUGCAAAUACAUUUUUAAAGCCUCCUUCUACAACUGGCCCCGCUGUCACCGGCAUUGACACGAUCUUUUUUUUUUUUUUUUUUUUAUUAACAACUUCUCCUCACCCCUAAGGUUUACCCCACCGUGUCGGGGCGGCCGAGGACGGUCGUUCUGCGGCGAUACGGAAACGCAGAGGGAACCACAAACAGGAAAAUGUCACAGGGCACAGAGCACGUCCACGAGCGAACCUGCGGGUCCCCCCGCGCCGUGACGUGGGAAUCCCUCCUGGAGAGGCGUUCUCCAGGAGAGUGAAGAGAAGAGAGAGAGGAAAAUGGGGGAAGAAAAAGGGGGGAGGGUUGGGGGGGGGAAGAGGGAGGGAGGAGGUGAGCGAGUGGGGAGAUGUGAGAGUGCAAUUGGAAACUAAUAAAACUCUUGUUAAAGUGCUUGCUCAGGAUCCAUGGCGUCACCAGGUCCUUUGCUCGCGAAGCCAAAGAGUUUUAUUCCUAAAUGAGUUAAAGAGCCAUUUACCUCUGUCGUGUUCUAUUCAUCAAGCCACAAGUCGAGAGUCCCUAACAUGAAACUAUUUGUUUGCUUACACAACCAGCUGGGUGCAAUUUCACGUCUGAGAUAUCUAUCUGAAAGCGCCUCUCAUUUAUUAUCCCUCCUUGUCAGCGAAUCCAUUUUCCAACUUUCCCCCCACCCCCUCGCCCCGUCCCCAUUCACUGCAGGCUCCGGUCUUAAACGGUCCCUUAAAUUUUUCGGCACCUACACCCCCCUCCCCUCCCACCGGCGCACAGAGCCGGGGAAAGGCUUCACGCCGUGAAACUCGGAGAGCUUCGACCGAGCUGCUUCCCUGUCCUUCUCCAUUUCUCCCUCACCCCGCAGGCCUGGUUGCAGCAGAACGGCUUUUUCCCCUUUUCCCUUUUGAUCGGACUUCACCACGGGGAUGCCCGGCGCAAGGUGCAGCCGCCGGGAGAUGGAUGCACGGAGCGUGCAGUGGGAAGGGCCGAAACCGCUGCGGGGACCCGGCCCGGCCUCAUCCCGGCCUCGGUGGUCCUGACUCCGCGGGGGCCGCGGGGCGGAGGCGGCGGACUCGGAGCCCGGGUGGGAGCGGGGGCGAGGAGGGACUUCGGGGUCUUUUCUGCCACCCCACGUGGUUCCCACCAGAAAUACAAAGACGCUACGAGCAACGGGCCCGGCCGGGUUUCAGAUGUAAUUGCGAGGAAAGAAAACAAUUAACAAAAGGGGCAGUGGGAAACUGUAUCUCCCCUCCCUCCCUUUACCCCCAGUUUUGAAAAGUCGAGAUAAUGUGAGCAGUGUUUCCAUCAAGGCACUCUGGCCAACAAGAGACCACUGUCAGCGAUGGCCGUACAGCAGUGCACACACGUCUCCUCCUCAGAGCCCUCCGCCCUGCUUAAAGCCGUGGAUCAAACCCACAACCACAGGGCACGACAUCUCCCCAGUUGCUACAAAAAUAAGAGAUAAAAGGAAAGAAGGAUGGGAUGGGAGGCGCGGCAGGCGGGCUGCGGGAAGAUGCGGCGUGCGGCGGGCCGGGAGCCGUCCCAUUGUCCCGGGCUCAGAAGACCUCCGCUGCCCGCAGGGGCUGCACACGACGCCUCUCGCCCGAACCCCGCGAGCCCCGGCCACGGCCUCGGGUCCGCACUCGAUCCCCACGCAAACGUCCACGCAUGUCCGGGUCACAGCGUGUUGCUUCAGCCCAGGACAGCGCAGAGGUGCCUGGGGCCCAGCCGACGGCCAUCGCUCCCUCCCCGCCGCCCUUUGGCUCCCCAGGGGGCCAUCAGUCCCCCCCUCCUUUUUUUGGGGGGGGGGCGGGGUGUUUUAUUUCACCAUUACUCAGCCGCUGUGUGUGCUGCGGGACCGGGCCCACGCGUGACUCCAUGGACAGACAGGCGGGUCCCCGCUUUCGUUCUACUCUGGUCUUUUUUUUUUUCCUCCCUCGGGUUAUCCUGGGGGAUCAGAUCUCUCCUGAAGGUCUGCACCCGCUCUGCACAAAGAGACAGAAGAGAAGGGGUUGGGACUCAGCUCCGAAGGCCAAAGAGCUCUUUAAACCCCCGGGCUGCAACCACACCGCCGCUCUGAGCGGCGCUUCAGGGGCCGGAGAGCCGCGCAACUCCCGACACAGCGCUGCGGCUCCGUGGAGCGAUAAAUAACGCCGCUCAGGUACUUUUUCUUUCAGAGAACCAUACAAAUUGGCCCGUGUUGACAGAUGUUUGUCACUUAGUAACUUCUUUCCAAGUUUUUUUUUUUUUUCCCCUCCCUCUUCCCUCCUCUAAGCCUUCUUCCGAGCCCGCUUUGUUGUUUUAAAAUAUGCAUGUCUCUCAGGAAUGCGAGUCACGAGUCCAAACUUCGUGUCCAACCUCCCACAAGAAAUGAUCCUUUUAUAGGGAACCCGAUAUGUCUCAAUCUGCACUUCACUCAAAGCCGCUGGAUAUAGGGCGCCGCUCCCUGCGCGCAAAUCACCGCGCCGAAGCGCAUUUCCACCCCCAUCCCCCCCCCCCCCCCCCCAAAAAAAAAAACCCACAACCAAACUACUAAACAAACAAACAAACAAAAAAAAAACCACGCAUGGCUCCCGGUGAGGAAAUACAGCUCCCAUGGUAUGGUGAGAAGGGAGUGCAGCCUGGAGGAAGGAAAAAAAAUACUUAAGAAAGGGAAAAUCAGGAAAAAAAGGAGGGGAGAAGGGAAGUUUUAUUCCUGCGCACGCCGCGCAGGGCCAUCGCAAGCAGUGGUUUUGCCAAGGACGUGCCCCUGCGCAGCUCCGGGUGCGUGGGGAGAAGACGUCAGCUCGUGGCGAGCGGAGGAGAGAUGGAAGAGCAGAGCCCAACUUCGGGAAAAGACGCGCUGAUGGCAAACAUCACCCGGCGAUGAAUACUGCAUACGUUUAAUUACGAUGCCCGCUCACCGCGCUCGCACGCACCCCAACCGCCCGUCACACGGAGAGAAAGAUUUCGCUGCGGAGAGGGACAUCCUGCGCAGAGCCCCUAAGAGUCCCAGCCGUGAGGGAGGCGCUCCGGGGGCACUCCCGGCAGCGCUGCGCGCGUUACGGGGACUGCGUCCUCCCGCGGAGCUCUGCGCCUCCGCGCAGCGCACGGCCCAGGUGCCCCGCGCAGGUGCGCGCGCCGCGCGUGAGCGCUUUCCCCACUUUUGUGGGAACUCUUAAAAUACAUAUGUAUAAAAUAAACGCAGCCGAAGUCACAGAGUUUGGGUUUGCUACUGCGACCGUACCUCGGCUGUGCCGACGAUGAUACGCCCCAGCCACGGCACGGAGCGCAGAGGAGAGGCGCUCCGGGCGCUCUCCGGCGUUACACGUGUGCGUGGCCACAGAGCGGUGCGUGGAAAAAUUAACAUCUGUUUCCCGAAAGUAAAGUGCUCCACGUGGCUCCUUACGAAAGCUUCCCUCAGUUUAAAGAGAAAUAUGUGGAGAUAAACUGGCAUCCAUAUGCAUAUCAUAUUGAUAAUGGUUUUAGGCUCCGGAGGUAGCUAUUCAUUGCAUAAGCCAUUUAGAACUGACGUUUUGAAAGCUUCUUAACCUCAGACAUCCCUGCAUCUUAAAGAAGGAUUCCCAACGAUGUUAUUUAAAGAGGAAUUUGCUGUAAUUUAAUUGCACAUCAAGGGGGAAUGGCACGGUCCCGGACUCGGAGCCCGCCUACGCUGCAUCCCGCGGCGCUCCCACGCGCGUCCCUUCGCGGUGCUGCGCCCACCGCUGCCCUUUGCCAUUCCCGCAAUGGCAGGUCGGACCCGGCAGAACGGCCGCCCGGCAGGCAGCUGGGACCCCCACUUUCUUCCCCCUCCCCCCACAAAUGGGCCUUCCUCCCCCCUUCGUCUUUUCCAGUGAGAACUGUCACGGUACGGGGGAAGCGAACCCCCGCGGCGCUUUGAGAAUAGGGGGGUGUCCCAACUGCACCGCCGCCGUGGGCCGGGGCAGGGAGGGUCAAUGUGGCAGUCCCGCGGGGGGCCUGGGGAGACCCCCCAACCCCGGGCCUGCACUGCGGGGGCUUUGAAGAGGGGGGGUGUCCCGAGCGGGAUUCCCUGUGUCCGUGGGCGCACUCCGCGUGGGUGUGGGGGGGUAAGGGGACCCAAGCAGUCAGAUCCUCUCUGAGUUACAGGGAGCUUCUUUCUUUUCAUUUUCUUUUUGCAUUUCUUUUUUUUUUUCCUUUUCCUUUUUUUCUCCCCCCCCUCCCUCCCUCCCCCCCCCCCCCUUUUUUUUUUCUUUUCUUUUUCCCAUAUAUAUAUUUUUUCCUUUUCCUUCCCCAAAGGCCAUAGCAUUGCUGCUCACACGGACACGCGGACCUCCAGCCCCCUCAUUCUGUGCCUUGAAGGGGCGGUUCGUGCUCUCUGCCUGGGCAAAGGGUUGGCAGGGAAUUGCCAUGUGCAAUUCUAGGAAGGAAAAAGGCACAAACCCACAGUUUGUCUUGCUUGGUAAAAUCGUUAAAAUACGUGAAGUGACGUGAAGUUUGGAUGUAUGUGAACACAGUGGACAGAACCUGCGAGGACGGUCCCACUUUAGGAUAGGGUCUUUAUUUAAGGAUGGUGUAUUUGCAGGGGAAAAAAAGGGAGUAUCCCACAAAGCCCCGCUAUACACCGAUAACAAAACGUGUCACAUCUUCACUUAUUGCCGGAACAGAGCCGUGCCCUCAUCUGAACACCUCCGAAGUGAUUACUGGAUCCCUCUCUGAUAAAUCAGUUUGUGGAACCGAGCCGGGAGCACACAGACAAAAAGGUGGGAAGGGGAGAAGAAAAAAGAAAGGGAGAGAGAGGAGUGGGAGCUCUGCUCGCACCGCGUCUGUCCCUCAUUGCACCUUCCCAGUACCGCGGGAGCGCCCCUCCGCCCGUUCUCCUUCCGAAGGAGCUUUCGUUGGUGGCAGCGAUACGUGCUUUGAAAUAAGCGGCUUGCACUUGGGGUGAGGAAGGGGGAAACAUAAGGAAACCCAGCCCAUAUUUCCUAUUAUUAUUAUUAUUAUUAUUAUUGAUAUUAUUAUUAGUAUUAUUCCCUCCCCCGAUUAGAUAGGAGAACUCUUCUUCCCCCACCCCCCCGAGAGAGUGGAUUGAAGCACACAAAAAUGGUGUAUCGGUGAAAGGAAGAAAGUGGCCUUUUAAUGAGAACUAAAGGAAACCAAAACGCAGACGAAGCGCACCGUAAAGGCUGCUUCAAAGUGCGGUGUGAUCCCCGAGCGCAGCCACCGUGCAGGUUUGGUGAUGGGGAGCGCACUGCGCAGAGGCGUGGGUAACGCUGUUUUUCCCUUCGAUAAUUAUAGAUACGUGUCACAGACUCUUUGCAAAGAGCCGGGAGACAGCAGAAACCCUUUGCUGCUGCAAAUGAAGGAAGAGAGUCAACGCCAUUAAAAAAAAAUGAAGGCGAACCCACCCGUACCUGAGCGCUGCAGGGUGCGGCGGUCCCCGCCCCACCGCCGUGCCCCGUGCCCAUCUCCCGACCCUGGCUGUGCUGCAUCACAAGUCCGCACAAGCGACGGAGCGAUAAAUCCUACCAAAAAUAAGACAGAUCUCCUCAUCGAUGUGUAAUAAAGUUAAAGGACAUUGUUUUGUCAGACAAGCGCUAAGUAGAAAAUAAAUCUUUGGGUCUGGGGAAACAAAACGCAGUGCUGUUGGCAUGUGUGUAAAUUUACUUUUAAGAGCAAUAAAUCAAUGUUAAAUUAAACAGCUGGGUUCCUAUCUCGGAGAAUGGUCCGCGGUGAAGGAAACCUCGGCGGAGCCCGCUCCCUGUCCCCGCCACAUCCCCGCGGGCCGGGGGGCACCCACCGGGGGACACCCAGACACGGGGCACCCAUCUGGGGGGGCACCUGACCGGGAGGCUCUCAGCCGGGGCGGGACCUGCCCCAAUCCUUGGGGCCCCACCGAGCCGCCCCCGCUGCCUUGCGCCGGGGUUAAGCAGAGUAACCCGCCGAAACUGCUCAAUGCUGGCAUUAUCCGAGCACUAAUUUCAUCAUUUCUGCAUCAGGAGGCAGAGGCACGGCACGCAGCGCGCUGCCCUGCCUGUCGCUGGGAUCUAAUGUGGAGUGCCCGUCUACGGGGCGGCCGCGAAGGGUGCGAGGAAACGGGGUGCCCCCGGCACGCUGUGUGGGGUGAGAUCCUUCAGAUGCUGAGAGAAGGAGAGAAAGGAGGGAAAGGAGAGGGGAGAAAACGGGGAGAGUAGAAAGAAGGGGAGAAAAGAAAGGGAGGAAGGAGGAGAGAAAAAGAACGUGAAGAGAGAGAAAAUAAAUAUGAAGACAGGAAAGGAAGAAAGGAAAAUGGAAAGGGAGAAAAGGGGAGAAAGGAAGAAAAGAAGAAAAAUAGGAAAGAGGGAAGGAAAGAGAAAGAAGAAAGAAGGAAGGAGAACUGAGCUGAGGAGACGCGCAGUAAAGAUGAAGCACUCCGGUGUAGACACAACGCGAAUCAAUAAGUUAUUAAAAGCCCCGAACAACAAAAGCAAUAUUGCUAAGCAGAAAACAGCUUGGUUUUCUGUUAGAGAAUGUCUGUGUCUGACUGAGAAAUUUGAAGUUAUCAAGUAAAAUUUUAGAAGGACUGAGAAUAAAGGUAUUUGAGUGCAUUGGCUCUCACUAGUGUUACUCAUUCUCUCCCGAGCACGGGGACGAAGGCUCGGACGGAGGAUUCACGGUGACCGCAGCAGUGCGCUGCCCCCCGUCCCCCUUCCCGCUGUGUGCACACUGUUCGCUUUAUUUCCACAGAAAUGAUGCAAACGAGGAGCAGAAGCUUUUUUAAAAUUAUUUUUUAAAUUAUUUUUAUUUUUUUCCCCACGGGAUCCCUGCAAGUUUCAAAAACAUAAAAGGUGACCCUCGGCGGGACGGGCACCGCAGCGGACAUCUUGCCCGCUCUGCCUUUGUUUUGCUCUCUUAGAAAGGAGGAUCCCAACACACGGCAAAGUUGGACGCCGUGUUAGUUUGUUUGCAGAUAAGGGCAUUUUGGUCUCCAAGUUCCACCCCGGGAACUGCGAUCAGGUAACAGUCACAGCAGUGCGUUCUGCUCAUCACAAACCGCUUUCUGCCGCACUCUGAAUGCUUCACGCAUCGCCAGGACAGAGCCCCGCUUGCAUUUUGCCGCAUUUAUUUCUAUUAUUUCCCACCACAACAGAGUCCCGAAGGUCGGUCAACACCGUUCAGGUGCACUCUGCGCACCUCCUCCGCACUGAAACGCGCUCGGAGCAGAGCGUGCGAUCGGGGAGUUUAAUUAGGAAAGAUGGAGAAAUAGAUUAUCCUAAUAACCAGGCGAACAAAUGAAGGACAAAGAACCGAGUGGUCCCCUCGGAUGAUAAACGGAGCUGCCCCCGCGCCUCCCCCGACGUCUGCGGCGUCCGGGUGGCGGAGGAGAUGCGGGGGCCUCUGCGUUUUCUCCGCGCUUUGCUCUGCGCUCAGCUCCGCGCUCGGCUCCGCACCCGCUCCGCGCCGCCG